rnacentral:rRNA from 1 species
GAUGAACGCUGGCGGCGUGCCUAAUACAUGCAAGUCGAGCGAACAGACUAGGAGCUUGCUCCUCUGACGUUUGCGGCGGACGGGUGAGUAACACGUGGAUUACCUACCUAUCAACCUGGGCUAACUUCGGGAAACCGGAGCUAAUACCGGUUAUUAUAUUUAAUCGCACUGAUCAAUAGUGAAAGACGGUUUUGAUGUCACUUAUAGAUGGAUCCGCGCCGCCUUAGCUAGUUGGUAAGGUAACGGCUUAGCAAGUCAACGAUGUGUAGCCGACCUGAGAGGAUGAUCGGCCACACUGGAACUGAGACACGGUCCAGACUCCUACGGGAGGCAGCAGUAGGGAAUCUUCCGCAAGGGGCGGAAGCCUGACGGAGCAACGCCGCGUGAGUGAUGAAGGUCUGCGGAUCGUAAAACUCGGUUAUUAGGGAAGAACAAAUGUGUAAGUAACGAUGCACGUCUUGACGGUACCUAAUCAGAAAGCCACGGCUAACUACGUG